GAACUCAAAGAAUGGUUCUUUAAGAAACAAGAUAGUGAUCAACAAAUAUAACAACCUAGUUCCUAUACCACAAUCUCCAAGGUAGUCGAGAAGGAUUUAUAAACCAUCUCAGUUGAAUGGUUUGAACUUUAUGACUAUAUCAUAGAGUUACACCUCUUAAUUCGAAACAAAUAAGAAUGAAAAUCCUUAUGACUACAUUGAGUGUAUAUACGAUAUAUACUCAAGGAAAUGGUAAAGUACCAUUUGACCCGAAAUAAUGAAACCUUAAAUAGCUAAUUGGUAGAUUAAGGUGACUACAAUCAAAGAGAAUGGUUGACUUUGAAGAAACCAUCUUUGACGUAGUCUUGUUUUCAAUUAAUUCGAAGAUUGCUAGCUACAACUAAAUGGUGAUUCAAUGUUUGGACAUAAUAUAGGUUUCCGAAACCAUUAUUAAGAUAAUCUUGAUAAUAUAUGUCUAAACUAUGAAUCACAAGACAUGUAAGUUGUAGAGAUCCAACCAUCAUGGAUCUUAGCAAGCUAGUGGGAGCUGUAAACGUCUUAUGAGAGAAAGAUCAAAACGUUUGAUUUCUCAUAAAGAUGUAAAUGAAUCUUUUGUUUACUAGGUUUACAAAAGAUUAGUGGGAGUUAAUCAUGUUCCUAAAUUUAAAUAUAUAUAUAUAUAUACAAAUAUAUGAUAUAUUAAUUUUGGAAAUGAAAAGAAUACUUCUUCGUUAAAGUUAUGACUUUAAAACAUUAUAUGAAGAUAUAAUGUAUAUGGGAGACAUAGUCUAUAUACAUGGGAUGGAAAUCUAUAUUGAUAGAUUUUAGGAUAUAAUUGGAUUAUAUCAAGCCCUAAAUAUAGACAAAAGAAGAUAGGAAGUUUCUCAUAUGAUGAUGAACUUCAAUCAAAAAGGACAACUCUAGUGAGACUAAGAAGUUACUCUUCUCAAAGAGAACGUACUCUUUGACUCCCAAAGAAAUAAUGCGUAAAUAGAAUCCUUUAUGCAUACGCAGAAAGGUGAUUUAUGUAUUUCAUAUUGUAUGAAAAACAUUGAUAUGAGUUGUACCUAGAACGGUACAAGACAAUAUCAGUGCAAGCCCAGGAUCAGAACCAUGGCAACUGUUAAGUGAGUUUUUAAGUAUUUAAGAAAUACUAAAGGAUAUAUUCCUCAAAGAUCGAGGAAGAAUUAGAGUAACGUAAUGGAAGUGUAAAUGUAUUAGAUUAUGAAUCUAAUCCAUCAUUGGAUGUUUCUUCAUUAUGAAUGAAGAGAUAAACAGAUAUCUCUUCAUUAUGACUAAAGAGAUAUUUGGAUGGAAACAUUAAAAUAAUGACUUUAGUGUGUUCCAUUAUGAAUGCAAAAUAUAUUGCCAUAUAGAUGUUUACAACAAUGUUGUUUGGAUGGGAAAGUUCAUUUAUGAACUCUCUAUUCGGUUCCAACCAGAAAGUGUCUGACACUAAUGGGGUGAUAGCUCAAGCCAGGGAAUCAAGGUCUCAUCACGAUCCGAACUCAAAUGAGAGACUGAACCACAUGAUUAAGAAUCAUGUAUAAUGGUGACGUCGUUAUUCUCAAGGUUGCUUAUAUGGAUAACAUAUAGAUAUCCAUUGUCUAGGCCUACUAUUCAGCCAUUUAUGAAAUGACUACAGAAGAG
rnacentral:lncRNA from 1 species